AUAACGUCCCAACAACAACGGACACUCUCUGGUUCCUCAGCGUGGUUUAACGGUUUUCUGUGUCAGCAUUGUUUGCGGUCGUCGUCGCCAUGAUGAACUGCGUGUGAAGGCUCGUGACGGCUGAGCAUCAUCUCCUUCCCCGACAGGAAGCAGACGCGAAGAAGUGAUCCUCGGUGGAGCAGAGCAGGCCUGUGGAGUAGCAGCCAAUGGACAGCACAGGACAGAAAGAGCCCGAGGCUGAUUAAAGUCAACUAAAGUCCUUCCUGGACCUUUAAAGCACAGCAGUCCCUCUGCUUCUUCAGGACUCUGCUCACGUGCCAUAGGGUGCAAAUAGCGAUUAUUUGGUUGA